rnacentral:rRNA from 1 species
UACGUAGGUGGCAAGCGUUGUCCGGAUUUAUUGGGUUUAAAGGGUGCGUAGGCGGUCCUAUAAGUCAGUGCUGAAAUAUCCCGCUUAGCCGGGAGGGUGGCAUUGAUACUGCAGGACUUGAGUGAAGUCGAGGUAGGCGGAAUUGACGGUGUAGCGGUGAAAUGCUUAGAUAUCGUCAAGAACACCGAUAGUGAAGACAGCUUACUAGACUUCAACUGACGCUGAGGCACGAAAGUGUGGGGAUCAAACAGG